rnacentral:pre_miRNA from 1 species
UGGGUACUCCCUCCGUCCGGAAAUACUUGUCAUCAAAAUGAAUAAAAGGGGAUGUAUCUAGAUGUAUUUUAGUUCUAGAUACAUCUCUUUUUAUCCAUUUUGAUGACAAGUAUUUUCGGACGGAGGGAGUACUUG